GAUGAACGCUAGCGGCAGGCUUAACACAUGCAAGUCGAGGGGCAGCAUAAUGGAUAGCACUAUCUAUGAUGGCGACCGGCGCACGGGUGCGUAACGCGUAUGCAACCUACCUUUAACAGGGGGAUAACACUGAGAAAUUGGUACUAAUACCCCAUAAUAUCAUAGAAGGCAUCUUUUAUGGUUGAAAAUUCCGAUGGUUAGAGAUGGGCAUGCGUUGUAUUAGCUAGUUGGUGGGGUAACGGCUCACCAAGGCGACGAUACAUAGGGGGACUGAGAGGUUAACCCCCCACACUGGUACUGAGACACGGACCAGACUCCUACGGGAGGCAGCAGUGAGGAAUAUUGGUCAAUGGACGCAAGUCUGAACCAGCCAUGCCGCGUGCAGGAUGACGGCUCUAUGAGUUGUAAACUGCUUUUGUACGAGGGUAAACGCAGAUACGUGUAUCUGUCUGAAAGUAUCGUACGAAUAAGGAUCGGCUAACUCCGUG
rnacentral:rRNA from 1 species